GCUUGUCUCAAAGAUUAAGCCAUGCAUGUCUAAGUAUAAACUGCUUAUACUGUGAAACUGCGAAUGGCUCAUUAAAUCAGUUAUAGUUUAUUUGAUGGUACCUCUACUCGGAUAACCGUAGUAAUUCUAGAGCUAAUACGUGCGCAAAUCCCGACUUCUGGAAGGGACGUAUUUAUUAGAUCCAACCAGCCCGGUUCGCCGGAGUCCCUGGUGAGUCAUAAUAACUGAGCGAAUCGCAUGGCCUUGUGCCGGCGAUGGUUCAUUCAAGUUUCUGCCCUAUCAGCUUUCGAUGGUAGGGUAUUGGCCUACCAUGGCGUUAACGGGUAACGGAGAAUUAGGGUUCGAUUCCGGAGAGGGAGCCUGAGAAACGGCUACCACAUCCAAGGAAGGCAGCAGG
rnacentral:rRNA from 1 species